ACCCGCCGUCAGCCCAUCUGACACUCACGUCAUCCCAGCCGGUGCCGGUCUAAUAGAUCGCUAUGUGGUCGGAAAAAUGAAAGCAGGAGCAACGGUUCCCUGAGCCCGCAGUAGGAUGGGUUACAGAUCCACCGCCUUCUUUGGUUCGAUCCCACCUCCAACUCAGUAUAAUGGUUUUGUUCUUGUGUCUUCACCAGAUCUGUACGUAUGGAUUAUCACAGAUCCACCGCCUUCUUUCGAUUAGGGAGGCUAACAUGGGCUGCCCCUGUGGCAAUUAAGGACGCCGGCAUCAGAGGUGAGGGAGGCCACCAAGGUGGAGGGCUUGGCCCCUAAGCUCGAGGCCUUGGCAUAGCUGGCUUCAGCUCCAGCUCCUGAUGGUGUAAAGAAGGCUCCAUCCAGCAUAAGGAAUGUUCAAUUUGAUGUACCUCUUUGGCGUAAGGGUCUGCUGGGGCAAGAUAUCUGUUCCCUUGGCUGUUAAUCGUUGGUUCUGCACUUCCACCGAUAGCAUACAUUUCCCAGUGAGUGUAGUCAUUGUUUACCACAUGGA